rnacentral:rRNA from 1 species
GACGAACGCUGGCGGUGUGCUUAACACAUGCAAGUCGAACGGAAAGGCCCUGCUUUUGUGGGGUGCUCGAGUGGCGAACGGGUGAGUAACACGUGAGUAACCUGCCCUUGACUUUGGGAUAACUUCAGGAAACUGGGGCUAAUACCGGAUAGGAGCUCCUGCUGCAUGGUGGGGGUUGGAAAGUUUCGGCGGUUGGGGAUGGACUCGCGGCUUAUCAGCUUGAUGGUGGGGUAGUGGCUUACCAAGGCUUUGACGGGUAGCCGGCCUGAGAGGGUGACCGGCGACAUGGGGACUGAGAGACGGACCAGACGCCUACGGGAGGCAGCAGGGGGGAAUAUUGCACAAUGGGCGGAAGCCUGAUGCAGCAACGCCGCGUGCGGGAUGACGGCCUUCGGGUUGUAAACCGCUUUCGCCUGUGACGAAGCGUGAGUGACGGUAAUGGGUAAAGAAGCACCGGCUAACUACGUG